UAUUUUURUUGUAAAAUUUUAAGUUGGAGUAUUAGUAGAUAUGUUCUUGAAACUUAAAGAAUUUGGCGGCAUUAUAGUCUAUUUAGAGGAAUCUGUUAUGUAAUCGAUAAUCCACGUUGAACCUUACUUAUAUUAAUUUUUGUAUACCGCUGUUUAAUGAAUAUACUUUUAGGUGAAUUUUCUGGAUAUAAAAAUAUUUAAUAUUUCAAGUCAAGGUGCAGUAAUAUAUAAGUUGAAUAAUGGAUUACAAUAAAAUGUAUUUAUUAUGGAUUUUUAUUGAAAUAUAAUUUGAAGGUGGAUUUAAUUGUAAUUUUAUAUAGAUUAUUAAAAUGAUUUUUAGCUCUAUAAUGUGUACACAUCGCCC
rnacentral:rRNA from 1 species